UUGAAGGUUUUUUAGGUUUUAUCUGUUGUGGUUUGUUUUGGGUUUUUUCUUAAAUCUUUCUUGCUUGCUUCCUGGCACAGAGAGCACAAUUACGGAGCUCAGGACGGCUGGCAGAAACCUCCCCAAGCCCAAGGGUGACAGAUCUUGGCAGGAUCCCAGCACCACAGCCUGUGUAUAGAUGAGCUUCACCCACCGAAAUUCAAGCCCCAACCACCGAAGGAAAAGAGAACCAGCUUGGAUUCCUCGGCAUCUCGAUGGAGGCACUUCAAGAUCAGAAAGGAGGAGCCAGUCACAGCCCUGAGAGAAGAGCAGGAUCUUGCCCAUUCUUCAGGAGCAGAGGCCUUCAGUAUCCUGCCACUCUCAGGUGUGCUGCAGCCAGGACAGAGCCAGCAGGUCUCCUCCACCUUCUCUGGCCACCCCAACAGCACCUCCAAUGUCACCGAGCUGUGCCACGUGGAGGGAGGCCCCACCUGCGAGGUGCUGGUGACCGGGGAGGCCUCAGGUGUCAGCUCCUCCCUGAGCCCCCAGGAGAUCAGCUGUGGCUCUCAGGCACCUCUCAGGGAGAGAAGGGAGCUGAAGCAGCCAGCUCAAAAGCUUCAGGAGGAGGCAAAAGCCUUAGAGGAGGAAGAGAGGCUGAAGAAGGGAAAGAAGGGAGUCUCUGUGGGGAAGCUGCCUCCAAAACUAGAGAAGGGGAAAACGGAACCACCUGAGACAAAGGAAACCAAAAUCCCAAAAAAGGAAACAAAAUCUCCUGAGAAGAAGGAAAAGAAAGGCCCAGAGAAGAAAGAAACCAAGGCCCCAGAGAAGAAGGUCACCAAAGCCCCCCAGAAGGGGAAAGCCAAAGUCCAAAGAAGGGGGGGAACUGAAAUCCCAGAGAACCCAUCUGGGAUGGAGAAGAACUCCUUAUUUUUUAUUCACACAACUAAUUUU